GUACGUAUUUCACCUGUUGCCUGG
rnacentral:piRNA from 1 species